GCGGGUAUAGUUCAAUGGUAGAACACCAGUUUGUGGCACUGGUUAUCAGGGUCCGAUUCCCUGUACUCGCCCCU
rnacentral:tRNA from 1 species